rnacentral:sRNA from 1 species
GAGAGCCGGAUGAGGGGAGACCCUCACGUCCGGUUCGGAGGCGGGAUAUCCCGACCCUACUAUCAUUAUGCCUUUGCAAUGUUACUUGGUUCAACUCUAU